AACGAACGCUGGCGGCAGGCUUAACACAUGCAAGUCGAGCGCCCCGCAAGGGGAGCGGCAGACGGGUGAGUAACGCGUGGGAAUCUACCCUUUUCUACGGAAUAACGCAGGGAAACUUGUGCUAAUACCGUAUGAGCCCUUCGGGGGAAAGAUUUAUCGGGAAAGGAUGAGCCCGCGUUGGAUUAGCUAGUUGGUGGGGU
rnacentral:rRNA from 1 species